ACUCAUACCUUGCAGGAGAAAUACCAUGUCAUAAAAGUGGUUUUACCAGGGGAGGCUCAUACAUUGCACUUUGCGUAUGUUGCUGAUCCCUGUGAUUUCCCCAAACGUGGGGAACUCAACUGCAUAAUUUGUAUUAAUGGGGGAUUGCACUUAUGAUUUCCCUAG
rnacentral:snRNA from 1 species